AUUCAUCAACCUCUGGAUUAUUAAAUUCGUGAGGAUUAAAUAACUAAAGCAGAAAAAAAAGCAAACAAAACCUACUGGAAGUAUAUACACUAAGGCUUGCUACACAAACUUACAUUCCAGGCCCCAGUAAAAAAAGACAGAAUCAAUCUUGUUUCUUUUAUACCUUUUUCCUCCUGCCAUGGUCCACUGUGAGAAGCCUGGCUCCACUUUCCUGAUGACAUCUUGUAAGAACAUGCCACAGCCAGCCAUGAAGGGAGUUUGUGUGUGUGAGAGACAGGACGAUCUCGCUGUUCUGACAGCUGGGAUGGGCGCAGACACCAGAACUCUAUUGACGUGAAGCUGUUUGGAAGCACCUGUUGUGUUGCUUUCUGCAUUAAUUUGGUGUGUAUUUCAUUGUACAUAAUAGAUACACAUGUUGCCUAGUAUACUUUUGAACAGAAUUUGUUGAUAUACCCUUGUUUAUUUAAAUCCUGUUUUGUAAAAAAAAAGAAAAAAAAUAACAGAUGAGUUAUGCUUUGAAAUAUGUUACUCACAAGUAUACAAACCUACUUUCAAUAACCUCUGCUCCUACUUACA